ensembl:lncRNA TMEM161B-DT TMEM161B divergent transcript
UGGGCGGGCGGAUCGUGGUGGCUGCGCUUGCGAGGACCCUGAGGUAGAUUGGGUGGUUUCAACAGGAACGCAUCCACUGUCUGAGAGUUUAAACUUGAUUUUGUGAGGGGACGAACAGCGUGACAAUUAAAAGAAGAUCUGGGAAUCAAAAGCUUCCUGAGGCCUUCACCAGAAGCAGAUGCUGGUGCCGUGCUUCUACAGCCUGCAGAACUGAAGGACUUUACAGCUUCUCUUUCGCAUAUCCAAAUUGCCAGCAUCACCGCUCUUGCACUCCAAGCCAUUAUUAAGUAAAGUAAAGAACACAAACACUGUGAUACUGCUACACUUGAUCUGAUAACCAAGAAGUCUACUAAGUGACUAACAGAAGAGAAGACAUGGAGAAGAGGAGGGAGUAGUUGUGACCGUGGAGGCAGAGAAUGGAGUAAUGUGAUCAUAAAUCAAGGAAUGCUGACAGCCACUAAAGCUGGAGAAGGCCAAGGACAGAUAUUCAAUCCUCCCGUAGAAGUACAGCCCUGCUAAUGCAUUGAUUUUGGACUUCUGGCCUCAGAACUAUUUAUAUAUCAGCUUUUUAUCAGUUGAAAUAAACCACCCUGGGCCGGGUGCAGUGGCUCACACCUGUAAUCCCAGCACUUUGGGAGGCCGAGGCAGGUAGAUCAUUUGAGGUCAGGAGUUCAAGGCCAGCCUGACCAACAUGGUGAAACCGCAUCUCUACUAAAAAAUACAAAAAUUAGCCCGGUGUUGUGGCAGGCGCUUGCAAUCCCAGCUACUCAGGAGGCUGAGGCACAAGAAUUCCUUGAACCUGGGAGGUGGAGGUUGCAGUGAGUCGAAACCAAGCCACUGCCCUCCAGUCUGGGCAACAGAUUGAGAGUCUGUCUCGAAAAAAAUAAAUACAUAAAAUAAAUAAGCCACACUGUACUUGUGAAGAUUAACUGAGAUGUUUAAAACAUUAUUUGCAAAAAUGCAAGACAUGAUGUAAGUGUAAAGCAUUAUUAUAUAUCAACAUAAUUGACCAUUAGAAAAAUGCAAAUUAACACCUCAAUGAGAUAUAUCACCAGACACCUGUUAGAAUGGUUAAAAUAAAAAGUACUGAUGAUAUUAAGUGCUGAUAAAAUGCAGAGUAACUCGAUCUCUCAUACAUUGCUGAUGCUAAUGUAAAAUGAUAUCACCACUCUAGAAAACAGUUUGGCAGUUUCUUAUAAAGUUAAACAUGCACUUACUAUACAACCCAGUAAUACACCUACUGGAUAUUCAUUCUAGGGAGAUCAAAAUUUACACCCAAAAACAUGUACAUAAAUGUUCAUAUCAGCUUUAUUUACAAUAGCCCAAAAGGAAACAAUCAGAUGUCCUCCAAUUGAUAACUGGUAUAACCCUAUCACAGAAUCCUACUGAGCAAUAAAAAGGAAAGCACUGUUGAUACAUACAACAACUUGAGUGCAUUUCAAGGCUGUUAUGCUGACUGAAAUAAAAGCUAAUCUCAAAAGGUUAUGUAUUAUGUGAUUCUGUUUAUAUAACAUUCUCAAAUUGCAAAAUCACAGCAAUGAAGAACUGAUCAGUAGUGCCAGGGGUUAGGGUUGUGGGGAGGGUGUGAUGAUGAAUGGGCAGCGUAAGAGAAUUUCUUUGGAGUGAUGGAAUAGUUUUAUAUCUUGAUUAUAGUGAUCAUUAUAUUAAACAAUUGCAUGUGAUAAAAUUCUAUAGGACUGUAUGCCAAAAAUAACUUAAUAUGUUUAUUUUUAAGGUCUGGAAAGCAUGGAAAUUUGUAUCUUCAUUCACUUUUGUUUUCAUGGACUCUUUUCAUGUUUGAACUUUUCAUGGUAUGAGCUGUUUUAUAAUCUAUAAUAUGGAAUGUUUCUCAUACGAAUGUUUUUCUUAUUGAAGAAUGCCAUAGAAAUAAGGGUGUGAGGUAUACUUACUUGACAGGAGAAUUUUACUCCUUUUAUUUUAUUUACUUAUUUAUUUUUAAGACGGAGUCCUGCUGUGUUGUCCAGGCUGGUCUUGAACCCCUGGACUCAAACGAUCUUUCUCCUUGGCCUCCCAAAGUUCUGGGAUUACAGGUAUGAGCUACAGUGCCCUGAGAGUCCUUUUUAAAGUAGUGAAUGCUCAAACAUGGAAUUAAAUUUAGGCAAAGCUCACUUUUAUUUAUACAUAAAACAACUUCAGCCAUGUACCUCAUAACGAUAUUUUGGCCAAUGUCUGACCUUAUAUACAAUGGUUGUCCUGUACGAUUAUAAUGAAGCUGAAAAUUUUCUAUUGCCUAGUAACAUUGUAGUAAUUGUAAUGUAGCACAACCUAUCACACGUGUUUGUAGUGAUGCUGGUGUAAACAAACCGACUGCAUUGCCAGUCUAGUAUAAAAGUCUAGCACACACAAUUAUCCACAGUAUAUAAUAGUUGAUAAUGAU